GGAGCAUCCUCUUUUAUCCCAUGUGUCAUCCUUCUGAUUCUGUCACACUUCAGAGAAAAACCUGAAGCACUCAUUCUUCAGACAGAUGUGUCAGCAACAGUGGCGGACGUGGAAAAGAAUUUUACACUUCCAGACUUUCCGAGACUGAUCGUCUUAGGUGAAAUUCUCACUGCAACUCAGUGGAUGCUGAGUAUUGAGGGCCAAGUGGUCGCAUCCUGCACACUUGAGUUUAUCCAGAG